GGGGAGCCGCCGUUGCCGUGGUGCGGAGUGACGGCUGCGGGCGAGGCGGUGAGUCAGGAGGGCGCAGCCGAGGCUGAGGCGCGGGGGUCAGUGUCUUCCGCGCGGCGCCGGGCGGGGAGCGGCUGUUGCGAGGUCUCGGCCCAGGGCCUCUCCGCCGUCCGUCUCCUUGCCCCCGCCGGGCCUGCCCCGCUCUCUUCUCCUGCUCGCUGCCCGCCGCGGCCCGGCCAUGUCGGGGAUGCUGGGGAAGCUGUUCGGGACGGGCGGCAAGGGCGCCGGGAAGGGCCCGACGCCGCAGGAGGCCAUCCAGCGGCUCCGCGACACCGAGGAGAUGCUCAGCAAGAAGCAGGAGUUCCUGGAGAAGAAGAUCGAGCAGGAGCUGGUGGCGGCCCGCAAGCACGGCACCAAGAACAAGCGGGCUGCUCUUCAAGCCCUAAAACGCAAGAAGAGGUACGAGAAGCAGCUUUCACAGAUAGAUGGCACGUUAUCAACAAUUGAAUUCCAGAGGGAAGCCCUUGAAAAUGCCAACACCAAUACUGAAGUGCUCAAGAAUAUGGGCUUGGCUGCUAAAGCUAUGAAAGCUGCUCAUGACAACAUGGAUAUCGAUAAAGUAGACGAAUUGAUGCAGGACAUUGCAGAACAGCAGGAGCUGGCAGAUGAAAUUUCAACAGCUAUUUCAAAGCCUGUAGGAUUUGGGGAAGACUUUGAUGAGGAUGAACUGAUGGCAGAAUUGGAGGAACUAGAACAGGAAGAAUUAGACAAAAACCUGCUGGAGAUCAGUGGUCCCGAGACAGUACCACUGCCAAACGUGCCCUCAAUAGCAAUACCAUCAAAGCCAGGUCCAGUCAACGUGCAUCGAGGUGUUUUAAAAGAGUUGGCUGAGGAGCUUGCUGGAGAGUUAAUGUUGAUUUUCAAUUAGUCUCAGGGCACUGGAGAAGUUUCAGAAGACUAGAAGAAAAUUAAUGUGCUAAUUUUAAAAAAGAGUAAACAGGAUGACCCGGGUAAUUCUAGGUCUGAUAUAGGUCCCAGGCAAGAUAAUGGAGUGGCUGAUAUGGGAAUCAGUUAAUAAAGAAUUAAAGGAGGGUAAUGUAAUUAAUGCCAAUCAACAUGGGUAUAUGGAAAAUAGAUCCUGUCAAAUUAACUUGAUAGCUUUUUAAAUGAGAUUAUAAAUUUAGUUGAUAAAGUUGAUUUCUGAAAGGCAUUUGGCUUGGUGCCACACAACAUUUUGAUUAAAAAAAACUAGAAUGAUAUAAAAUGAACAUGUCGCAUGUUAAAUGGAUUAAAAACUGGCUAACUGAUAAGUCUCAACAUGUAGUUGUAAACGGGGAAUGUUCAUCAAGUGGGUGUGUUUCUAGUGGAGUCCUGCAGGGAUGAGUCCUUGGCCCUAUACUAUUUAACAUUUUUUUAUCAGUUACCUGGGAAAAAACAUAAAAUCAUCAUUGAUAAAGUUUGCAGAUGAUACUAAAAUUGGGAGAGUGGUAAAAAUUGAGGCAGACAGGUCACUAAUACAGAGUGAUCUGGAUCACUUGGCUAACUGGGCGCAAUCAAACAAUAUGUGUUUUAAUACAGUUAAAUAUAAAUGUAUACAUCCCAAAACAAAGAGUGUAGGCCAUACUUACAGAAUGGGGAACUCUAUCCUGGGAAGCAGUGACUCUGAAAAAGACUGGAGGGGAUCAUGGUGGAUUAUCAGCUGAACAUGAGCUUCCAAUGGGACACUGUGGCCAAAAGAGCCAAGAAGAAAGAAGAGGAGGAUGAUGAUGACAUGAAAGAGUUGGAAGCUUGGGCUGGAAACAUGUAACUACAGCAGCAAUGGCUUGGAAAAACAAAACAGACUUUGGCCACCUGUUCUAGGUGCACGUGAAGUGUGAUGGGGACAAAACAUUCAGCAAAAUGUCUUUUAUCUCUUUAAUCUUAACCCAAAGCAGUGGGCACUGCAUCGCUGUACUCUGCAUAGCAUGGUCUGCGCAAAGAAAACAAAGGGGGUCGGGGAAAUUUGCCUGCAGUUGAUGUUGAAUUUCUGUAAAAUAAAAUGUAUUUGCAAAAUCCAACGUUCAGCUUCUGGACUAUGCUAAUGCCACUGCUGGAUCUUCAUCUUCUAGAGUUUUGGGGUGUAUUGAAUCUAAAUGACCUGAAAUGCAGCCUGUAAUUUUAAGUCAGUUGAAAGUGUGUCUGGAAGUCUUGUAAGGCAUUUAAAAAGGAAAAGUCAUAAGCCACCAUCGGCUUCUCAUGUUUAGGUAUAAGAAUGCGUUAGGUUUUUAGUUCUUUGCACUCUGUAUUUAUUUCCUUUGACUGUGUGAUCACCUUCUAUCACUGCACUGACCUAGUCACUGUUCCCAUUUUUAAUUAGUGAAACUGAUUUGAAAUUGAUAAACACUACCUUGGAAGUAAGGGAGAUUUACACUUAAAAUCCAGCUGUACAUUUUUUCUAUGUAGCAGUGCAGUGUUCAUUGCUAUUUGUGGUAACUGAUAACCCAUUCAGAUACAUGCAUACAUCUAUUUUAAUUAAGAAACUAUGGUUUGCACUGUAUUAAAUAUCUUGAUUAAUUUUCA